AGGAGCUGACUUGAGGCCACGUGACAAGAUUGAAAUGGAACCGAACCUUAGUUACCUCACCUCAGCACCUCACACAUUCUUCGCCGACUCUCUCAAAAGCUCUACCACCACGCCACAACCAGCGCCAGCUUGCGUGCCACACGCUUUCAAGCAAAGCACAACCACACUUGAACCGAGCCACCCCUGCCCCCGAGGAAUAACCCUGUUGGUUUAUAUUAUAACCAUCGACCACCUUAACCUUAAAUCCUAGGUAGCUAGCUUUUACUAUUGUGUCGGCAACCGGUUGAGGAACAAAAAAACAGAGGAGGGUGCAAGCAGGGUGGUGGAUGAUGAUGGAAGGGGUUUCGAGGGAGGCUCAGAUGUCGAUUGCUGCUUCUUCCAUGUUUCCUGGAUUCAGAUUCUGCCCCACUGAUGAGGAGUUGAUUUCUUAUUACCUUAGGAAGAAGAUGGAUGGCCAUCAAGAGAGUGUUCAAGUCAUUUCUGAGGUUGAACUUUGUAAAUACGAGCCUUGGGAUUUACCAGCCAAAUCAUUCAUUCAAUCAGAUAACGAAUGGUUCUUCUUCUCUCCCCGAGGAAGAAAGUACCCAAAAGGUUCACAAAGUAAAAGAGCAACUGAAUGUGGAUAUUGGAAGGCAACUGGCAAAGAGCGUAAUGUAAAGUCAGGUUCUAACGUUAUAGGAACGAAGCGGACUUUGGUGUUCCACUUAGGGCGUGCACCUAAAGGGGAGAGGACCGAAUGGAUUAUGCAUGAGUACUGCAUCAAUGAAAAGUCUCAGGAUUCUUUGGUCAUUUGUCGCCUCAAGAAGAACACAGAGUUCCGUUUGGGCGAUUCUUCGAAUAGAGCUUCAUCAAGUCAAAGGCACCCCGUGAAUUCACAUGAAAGUGGUUGUGCCAUCUCAGAGGGUGGUAUUGAUCAAAGGGAUGCUUGUGAGCAAGACAAAUAGGUAGGAUGUAGCUCCAAGAGGGACAGUUGCAGUUAUGGUUCUCCUUCAAUGGAGCAAAUUGAUUCUGUGUCCGAACCGAAUCAGAGACCGGUUAGUGAAGCUACUUUGGCAGUGUCUUCAGGCCAACCAAAGGAGAGAUAUGAAGAGGAUUGUUAUGCUGAGAUACUAAAGGAUGAUAUCAUUAAAUUAGAUGAAUCAUCAAUCUCGGUAGAGGGUCACACAAGACCACAGGAUCCUAUACAGAUGCAUCCUUCACCACAAGGCACAUCACAACGGAGAAUAAGAUUAAGGGUUGGGAAUUCAAAGCAUUCUCCUGCAGUAGUUCGUUUCCCUUGCACAAUGCACUCGUCAAAGAGUACCUUCUUCGCCAGAAUAACCAUUAGUUUGGUGGUAUUUCCUUUCUUUGUCUUCACUUUGACAGUUCUAUAUUUUUUGUCUUUAGUGGGUGGAAACAAACAAGUGAAAUAUUGUGGGAAAUUUUCUGGUUUAGGAACCAUGUCGAGGCCCAUGUUGCUUGUUUUCUUGCUGAUUAUACUUAUAAUCACCUCACAGUUCGAGUGGAAGCAGCAGCUUGUGGCCGAUGUUGACUCUAACCCCAGCGUGUCGCAGAAGCAGCAUCAGAUUUCCAAGGCUGGAGAAACCGUUAAGGAGAAGAUUAUUUUAGUGCAAGAGAAGAAUAUUCGAAGACUGAAUGAGCUAGUUCGGCAUCUCCAGGAGCAACUGCAGCAGUGUAGAGGACGCAAUGGAACUAUAAAUGGCACUGUAAGCCCUCUAGCUGAGCGGAUUCUUGAGCUUGAGCGACAGCAAAUUUUAGAGGAUUAAGCAAAUGCAGCAAGUAUGGUAAAUGAUGUUCAUUGUUAUGCUCAAGCUGUGAAGUUGUUCCUUAAUUCGUUUGGAGUGAACGUUGUAGAAGAUUUGUUCCCUAUCUGAUCAAUUAUGAUUUUCAACUCUAUCUCAAUGGAAAGUGAAGUAUUGUAAUCUUGCUCAAAAAGUUGUUGAAUGAUAUAGAAGCAUUAUAUCUUAUACCGGUUAGAUCGUUUCUGUAGUUUAACAUUUUCACAUUUCUCUCUUGACAUCUAAUACUGCCGUCCUUUUGGCACAUAUAAUUGAGGAGAUCUUUGAGUAAA